UUGAGAAACAUGAUCAGAUUAAGCUUCUCAGCAACGCGUAAUAACUUAAACACCAGAUUGAAGGUUGCAUCUAAGAUAGUGUUACCAUGGUUGAAGAGGCGUUGAAGCAGUUCUAGAGACGUUUGGCCACCCUUGAGAGGGAUUUAUGUUCAGGUGACUGAAUUUUAAGGAGGUGUUUGGUUUACAUUUCUUAGACUAACUCCAACGCAAGAUCUGUAAGUCCGCCUGAGAUUAGGUGGAAAAUAUCCACAAUUUCAGGCCCAUUAAAGAUCAUCCAAAAUGAAGAAAUCCUUAACAAAGAUCCGUCUGCAAGGGCUCUAUUAUUUGGGUUCUUGUGCCACUUUUGAGCCAUUUUCCAUUUUUCUUUUAUUUUUUCCCAAUGGUAUUAACCAAUUGAUUUGUUUACCAGCUU